rnacentral:rRNA from 1 species
AUACGUAGGGUGCAAGCGUUAAUCGGAAUUACUGGGCGUAAAGCGUGCGCAGGCGGUUUUGUAAGACAGAGGUGAAAUCCCCGGGCUCAACCUGGGAACUGCAAUUGUGACUGCAAGGCUGGAGUGCGGCAGAGGGGGAUGGAAUUCCGCGUGUAGCAGUGAAAUGCGUAGAUAUGCGGAGGAACACCGAUGGCGAAGGCAAUCCCCUGGGCCUGCACUGACGCUCAUGCACGAAAGCGGGGGGAGCAAACAGGAUUAGAUACCCUGUUAGUCCACGCCCUAAACGAUGUCAACUGGUUGUUGGGGAUUUAUUUUCUCAGUAACGAAGCUAACGCGUGAAGUUGACCGCCUGGGGAGUACGGCCGCAAGGUUAAAACUCAAAUGAAUUGACGGGG